AUGCGUGUGAUGGAAAUUUUAAUUUUGGCUGAACAGUGAUGUUUUCAAAGGAACCACUGAUGCAU